rnacentral:rRNA from 1 species
UACGUAGGGGGCGAGCGUUGUCCGGAUUCAUUGGGCGUAAAGAGCUCGUAGGCGGUUCGGCAAGUCGGGUGUGAAAACUCCAGGCUCAACCUGGAGACGCCACCCGAUACUGCUGUGACUCGAGUCCGGUAGGGGACCACGGAAUUCCUGGUGUAGCGGUGAAAUGCGCAGAUAUCAGGAGGAACACCGGUGGCGAAGGCGGUGGUCUGGGCCGGAACUGACACUGAGGAGCGAAAGCGUGGGUAGCAAACAGG